UUUGGUAUCUCGUACCAUACCAACACUUAGUAUACUAUCUCAAAUUGUAGUGAACCGCAUAUCGACACUGUAAUAGGAUGGUACUGGUAUGGGGUCCAUUACCAGAAUGGUGAACCCUGACUUUAUCCAAUGUUUUAUGUGUUUGGUAUUGGUGUCCAUACUAGUACCUUACCACUAUAAUAGAGCAUGAUGUGGUAUAUCUAUAUUUACACA
rnacentral:lncRNA from 1 species